rnacentral:rRNA from 1 species
AUGAGCACGUCGAGGAAUCCGCUGGUCGUCGGGAACAUCGUCGGAGAAAUCAUCGACCCCUUUGAUGCUUCGGCGGUGCUGAGGCUGUUCUAUAACAACCGCGAGAUGACCAGUGGGUCUGGGCUGAGGCCGUCGCAGGUGGCCAGGGAGCCGACCGUCCAGAUAACCGGCUCCCGGGGGCGCAAUGAAACAUCACUAUACACGCUGGUGAUGGUGGAUCCUGAUGCACCUAGUCCAAGCAACCCUUCCAAAAGGGAGUACCUCCAUUGGUUAGUGAUGGACAUACCCGAAGGAGGUGAUGUCAGUCAUGGAACUGAGGUGGUGGCGUACGAGAGCCCGCAGCCCAAGGCGGGGAUCCACCGCCUGGCGUUCAUCGUGUUCCGGCAGACGGUGAGGCAGGUGAUCUACGCGCCGGGGUGGCGCCCCAACUUCAACACCAGGGAUUUCGCGGCGUGCUACUGCCUUGGCGCGCCGGUCGCCGCCGCCUACUUCAACUGCCAGAGGGAGGGCGGCUGCGGUGGCCGGAGGUGCAGCUGA